rfam:Gorilla gorilla gorilla genomic chromosome, chrX, whole genome shotgun sequence
GCCAGGUGUGGUGGCGGGCACCUGUAAUCCCAGCUACUCAGGAGGCUGAGGCAGGAGAAUUGCUUGAACCCAGGAAGUGGAGGUUGCAGUGAGCCGAGAUAGCUCCACUGCACUCCAGCCUGGGUGACAGAGCAAGACUCUGUCUCAG